rnacentral:lncRNA from 1 species
AGUUGAGCCCGGACCCUGGGACAGAAAGACAGUUCUCGGUUGGACUGGAAGAAAGGGAAGGAAGACUCCUCUGUUCCCGAGGAGAGCGGAGCGGCUGCCCUAGUAAGUAAAACUGCUCUCUGGUCUUGCUCUCCAAAGUGAGGCGUCUACCUAAUGCUUCCUCCCGGUUCCUUUUACCAGGGAAGAACUUGCCUUAUAUAACUUGAGUAAUUCCUACCUGAGAAGUGCUUCGCUAAACAUUUUUGUGUGGGUUUCUUUGUGGAAGAUCACUUAGGAGUGUCUCUCUGCAUGUGCAGCAUUCCCAGGAGUCUGAUUGUUAAAGGCUCAUUGUUCGAGGGCUGCUAGAAGACCUGGCUUGUGAACAUGUUGGUUGGUUCUAAGAUUGAAGCACUAUUACCUAGGAAAUCUUGAGGAUUACCAGCCCAUUGCCUCCUCCUUCCUGUAACCUUCAACCCUGGUCCACCCCCAAGUUCCAUCCUUUGCUGACUUCAGUGGGUUGCUUGUUUUAUCUUUAGUUGUAAGGAGCCCGAGCGAAAUUAAUUGGGUCAAGGGAAAGUUAAGAAAGAUGGUUUGCAAGACUAGAAUACAAUCCUAUUCGGAUGACUUCAUGUCUGUGAGGCGUUUCUGUGUGGAGGAAGUCCUGGCACAAGCCUAGGUGGAGAAUCUGAUGAAGUUAAUUUGGAGUGGAACUGUGAAGAAUGCAGUGUGAGAGCAGGCUGAGGCUGGGACUCUGACACAGCCGGUUAUGAACUGUGACAGGCUCAUCAGCUGCUGACAGGUUUAAGGUAUCUCUGAAGGCUGAAUAUCGCUGCAUCAAAAACUUUUGCAGGUAGCAUUUCUCUUGGACUAGCAUUCCCUGUCAGAGGCUGCAGCUUUUCUGUGCACGCAAGUAGGACACCCGUCCUCCCUCCCAUCAAAGGGUUAAUGGUACCAUAAAAGAAUAGGAGACAUGUGUAGCCUGACAUUCGCCAAUAUUUUGUAAUAUCUAAAUAAAACCUUUAUGUUAUGUCAGGAAAAAUAUAGUUGAGUCAGUUUGUUUUGCACAAGAGGAAAGAGAAUCAAUAACGUUUCAGCAUUUCCCCCUCUUUAUCACUGCCAAAUGGGUUCUGAAUCUAAUUCUUCUUGCAUUGUUACAUAUACUGUAGGUACAGUAGGACUUGCAGGUUAGAAACAACUGAACCGAUUUAAAUGCAAAGUUCUUCGACAUAAUGGCCCUAAUACAGACUGGAGUCAAAUAGUGAUAAGAAAAAAAGUCAAUGUGAUUUAUCUUUAACACUCAUUUUUUUUCUGCUAAUAUAAUACAUACUUUUCCAACAAAACCCUUGCAAAUUUAGAAAAUUAGACUGAGAAUUACAACUAAUUAGCAGGUCAAAUUUCAUUAUAAGAAUCACUUAUCAAUUAAUGCUUAUGAGAAUUCUCAUAAUUAAUUGAGACUUUUGUAGUCAAAAAUCUUGUCACCUCUCAACUCAAAUAGUUAAGUAAAAAUUUCGUUGGACAUCGAUUUCAAAAAGUAUGAAAAAAGCCAGAAUGGUUGAAAAUGGAAAAGCAUUUAGAACUGUGCCAUCUUGUUUGGGUGGUUCUGAUUGUCUUGGGACAUAAGUUUUAGAGUGAUUGGACAGGACAGUGUACCCGAUGAUGAUUCUGGUUACACAAAGUUGUAAUGGAAGGGAAUCACUUCAGAAAGAUGUGUCAUUGUCUCCUGAACAUCACUUUAUUUCUCACCCCUUGCUCUCCAUUGCCAUUCCUGUGAUUGAAUUUAAAUAAUUUAAACUGAGAUCAUUGGUUGAUCAAAUCUGGAUUAUAUAUAUAUAUAUGUUCUCUAUAAUUUGUGACCUCAAAUCUCUAAGAUGAUGCAUGACAUUUGAAAAAAAAUACAUAAAGGGAUAAUUGUCCAUAAGCUGUAGUACUUAAGAAUGAACCAAACAUUCAAUUACAUAUAUUUUAGUACGUAUCUAUUCCCACAGAAUGCACAGGAGACCUGUUCGUUUCUGAAAGCAGAGACUUAUCAGUUACAUUGACAAUGAACUGACACACAUUCUGGCUCUGUUAUCAUUGUGUCAGUGUUAGGAAGGGCAUCCUGAAUUAAAGCUGUUUCUAGUCAUGCCUACAGAGAUACCUGGUAAUUGUUUCUGUAACCAUAGGGAGGGGAACCUUAGCCAGAAUGAUAAAAUUGUUAGCUUUUUGACACCAGCUUUUUAUGUCAUACAGGAGUUGCAACUUUAAAGUUGAAAGAAUAAAGUUGCUAGUGUCAGCAGUAAUGUGUUUUAUUAUGCAAUUGUUCUUGUUAUUCAGAUCGGAUAAUGGUCUGAUGAAAUACAUAAGCAGUCUGCAGGGAAUGAAUGAUUAAUUCCUCUAACGUGUGCUUACCAAAGGAGUUUUUACUAAUAAAGUGCUGUGGACCUGCAUUUGCUUACAGUUGCAGUUGGUGAAAGCAAACAUACCUUCCCUUCCCUUAAUAUCAACAGGAAAUUUAGGAGUCUGUUUCUGUAACUAUAGCAACAUAAAUUUGAUUUUGUAGACCACAUGGUCAUAUAAUUUAUGAAGUUCUCAAUAGGAGGAUCAUUUUCUUAAAAGACAUCAUUUAGAAAGCAAAGCAAUGUUAAUUAGGUCUUGGAUUGCAAUGUUAAAUUAUUGAUAACAUUUUUCUGCUUUUCAUGUGUGCAAUGGUGGUAUUUCUUUCAUGUAUUGCAUGGAGGGUGCAUGAACCCAAACAUAUGGGGGUGUAAAGAAUGCUGGUACCGAUGACACUUUCCUUAGUGAUGUUAAGGUGUAGUGGAAGCUAAAAUACAGUUCUCACAGAUACAGCUUUAACACUUCAGGAAUGAGUGAUAGCAAACCACACAAUUGUGGCUGCAAUUGGUGCACAUUGUUUUGUGGUUAGAGACAUAGCUUUAUUGUAACUUCUAAUAACUCUAAUUUUCUAAAGCUUUAUUAUUUUAAAGGAUAGUGAAUUAAAAGUUUGUAAGUGUUAAAAAACAGCUGAUCUGUGGUGCAAGUUACACAUGUCAGUAACCUACAUGUAUUUUUUUUUCUUUUUAGAAAAAUUUGGAAAGUAUUAUUUGUGAAGUAACAUAAUAAAAUCAUUACUUAUCUAUAUAUGUAUCCACAUAUUUAUCAACUAUAUAUCUGUCUAUCUAUAUCUGUACAUACAACAUAUAACUUUUUAGAAGAGCCUCUGUUGUUUGAGGCAAAUACCUUAGCUUGAUAGUAUCUUUUGGAUAUGCACCUAUACUGAGGUUAAUAAACUUUAGCUACAUCAAUAAUAUAAUGAACAUACUUGAUAAUUUAAAAAGUCAGAGGGGAAAUUAAAUGAGUAGAACUUUUUAUUGAGCUGAAUGGCAAUUCAAAUUUCUGUUAAUAGGUUUAAGUGUGUGUGUGUGUGUGUGUGUUUUCCUACUACUUUUGGUUCACUUGGAUUUCAUUAGAUUUCUCAAAAGCACUGUACAUUAAUACGAAAUAAAUAAAAUUUCAUUCAUACAAUCAGCAGCAUAAAAGUUAACUGCACUCACAACAGGCUUUAAAAUUUGUUCAAGAUAUUAAAUAAAGACAAACAACUGAUGUACAAAAAAUGCAUAGUAUCUUUAGGGGAAGACAUAAUGUGAUUGAAAACAAGGGUUCUGGGACUUCCUGUGUUACCUAAGGAAGGUUGCUUGGUUGAAUUUACUAAGAACUUCCUGCCUAGUAAAGAGAGUGCUAGCAGCCUUACAUCAUUCCAAUUACAAAACACUAUGAAACAGUCUAGCAUAAUUACUGAUGUAAUUGAGUCUAACAUUUGGCAAACUGUCAGAUUAUACUGUGACAGUCUAAGAAUCCUCAAAGGAGUCAGAAGCAAACAUCUUGUUUGCAAAAGUGCCAAGUUAAUGGUCCUGAAGCCAUGUUGGACAGGCAUUGGUUUGUUGCUUUCUUGGUUGGAUGAUCCUUGCAGUGGUUGAAGAGAACCAAGAUGGAGCUUGUAGAGGGGAGGAGACAUUUGUCUUGAGUUCCUUUGAAGCACCCUUUACUCUUGCUGUUGAGAAAAUAUUCCAUCAUUUACUGUCUUUGAAUUAUCAUCUCUGUAAUCAAAUAGCAGAAGAGUUUGAGAAAAACAGAAAAUAAAAGAAACCAACAGUGGCUCUGGUCUUCCAACUUCAAAUAGUAAUUCUCUUUAUUUCUGUAUAUUUAUUAUUUUUACAAUAUUGCAUAUAUAUAAUGCAACUCAUGUGGUUUCCCUAAAUGCAUGUUGCAGAGUGUGAAAACAAAAAACAAAACAAAACAAAACAAAACAAAAAAACCUUCAGUCUUUACGUGUUAGAGAAGUAGAGAAGUAAUUGAUUACUUCACGUAUGAAAAGAUGUAAAUAUAGAAUGAUUUCCAUCUUACACUGCAGGUUUUCUCUACCAGUUUAGUUGUAUUUAGUGGUGGGUUGUCGAGUACAUGCUUGGACAGCACAUUCCACACCUGCUAGGCAAUUAACAGCCAACAACCCAUUAUUUUCAAAAGAUACUAUUCAUCCCCUGAGAAAUUUUCAGAGGACAGUAUGCCAUGAGAUUGAGCACAGUGUUCAGUCUAAAUGUCUUAGAUAUCUCACUACUGAACUUAGUGAAAUUACCACUGUGUGUACAAUAAUCAAAGA